AAAACACUAACGAACGCUGGCGGCAGGCCUAACACAUGCAAGUCGAGGGGCAUCACAUGAGGUAGCAAUACUUCUGGUGGCGACCGGCGCACGGGUGAGUAACACGUAUGCAACCUGCCUUCAACAAGGGCAUAACCCGUUGAAAGACGGACUAAUUCCCUAUGACACAGGGGUCCCGCAUGGGGAUAUUUGUUAAAGAUAUUAUCGGUUGAAGAUGGGCAUGCGUUCCAUUAGCUUGUUGGCGGGGUAACGGCCCACCAAGGCAACGAUGGAUAGGGGAACUGAGAGGUUUAUCCCCCACACUGGUACUGAGACACGGACCAG
rnacentral:rRNA from 1 species